rnacentral:rRNA from 1 species
UAAGGAAUAUUGGUCAAUGGACGCAAGUCUGAACCAGCCAUGCCGCGUGAAGGAUUAAGGCCCUCUGGGUUGUAAACUUCUUUUAUAUGGGAAGAAACGUACUUUUUCUAAAGUGCUUGACGGUACCAUAGGAAUAAGCACCGGCUAACUCCGUGCCAGCAGCCGCGGUAAUACGGAGGGUGCAAGCGUUAUCCGGAUUUACUGGGUUUAAAGGGUGCGUAGGCGGAUGAAUAAGUCAGUGGUGAAAUCUCCGAGCUUAACUCGGAAACUGCCGUUGAUACUAUUUGUCUUGAAUAUUGUGGAGGUAAGCGGAAUAUGUCAUGUAGCGGUGAAAUGCUUAGAUAUGACAUAGAACACCAAUUGCGAAGGCAGCUUGCUACACAAUCAUUGACGCUGAGGCACGAAAGCGUGGGGAUCAAACA